rnacentral:rRNA from 1 species
UACGAAGGGUGCAAGCGUUACUCGGAAUUACUGGGCGUAAAGCGUGCGUAGGUGGUGCGUUAAGUCUGUCGUGAAAGCCCCGGGCUCAACCUGGGAAUGGCGAUGGAUACUGGCGCGCUAGAGUGCGGUAGAGGGGGGUAGAAUUCCACGUGUAGCAGUGAAAUGCGUAGAUAUGUGGAGGAAUACCGAUGGCGAAGGCAGCCCCCUGGGUCGACACUGACGCUCAUGCACGAAAGCGUGGGGAGCAAACAGG